UACGUAGGGGCCUAGGGUUGUCCGGAUUUAUUGGGCGUAAAGAGCUCGUAGGCGGUUUGGUGAGUCGGGUGUGAAAUCUCCACGCUCAACGUGGAGGGGCCACCCGAGACUGCCAUGACUAGAGUCCGGUAGGGGAGUGUGGAAUUCCCGGUGUAGCGGUGAAAUGCGCAGAUAUCGGGAGGAACACCGAUGGCGAAGGCAGCACUCUGGGCCGGUACUGACGCUGAGGAGCGAAAGCGUGGGGAGCGAACAGG
rnacentral:rRNA from 1 species